GUGCUCACUUUGAGGCACAUAUGGUAAAAUUGGAAUGAUUCAGAGAAGAUGAACAAGGCUCCUGAACAAGGAUGACAUGCAAAUCUGUGAGGCAUUCCAUAGUUUU